AGAGUUUGAUCAUGGCUCAGAUUGAACGCUGGCGGCAGGCCUAACACAUGCAAGUCGAACGGUAGCACAGAGAGCUUGCUCUCGGGUGACGAGUGGCGGACGGGUGAGUAAUGUCUGGGAAACUGCCUGAUGGAGGGGGAUAACUACUGGAAACGGUAGCUAAUACCGCAUAACGUCGCAAGACCAAAGAGGGGGACCUUCGGGCCUCUUGCCAUCAGAUGUGCCCAGAUGGGAUUAGCUAGUAGGUGGGGUAACGGCUCACCUAGGCGACGAUCCCUAGCUGGUCUGAGAGGAUGACCAGCCACACUGGAACUGAGACACGGUCCAGACUCCUACGGGAGGCAGCAGUGGGGAAUAUUGCACAAUGGGCGCAAGCCUGAUGCAGCCAUGCCGCGUGUAUGAAGAAGGCCUUCGGGUUGUAAAGUACUUUCAGCGGGGAGGAAGGUGUUGUGGUUAAUAACCACAGCAAUUGACGUUACCCGCAGAAGAAGCACCGGCUAACUCCGUGCCAGCAGCCGCGGUAAUACGGAGGGUGCAAGCGUUAAUCGGAAUUACUGGGCGUAAAGCGCACGCAGGCGGUCUGUCAAGUCGGAUGUGAAAUCCCCGGGCUCAACCUGGGAACUGCAUUCGAAACUGGCAGGCUAGAGUCUUGUAGAGGGGGGUAGAAUUCCAGGUGUAGCGGUGAAAUGCGUAGAGAUCUGGAGGAAUACCGGUGGCGAAGGCGGCCCCCUGGACAAAGACUGACGCUCAGGUGCGAAAGCGUGGGGAGCAAACAGGAUUAGAUACCCUGGUAGUCCACGCCGUAAACGAUGUCGACUUGGAGGUUGUGCCCUUGAGGCGUGGCUUCCGGAGCUAACGCGUUAAGUCGACCGCCUGGGGAGUACGGCCGCAAGGUUAAAACUCAAAUGAAUUGACGGGGGCCCGCACAAGCGGUGGAGCAUGUGGUUUAAUUCGAUGCAACGCGAAGAACCUUACCUACUCUUGACAUCCAGAGAACUUUCCAGAGAUGGAUUGGUGCCUUCGGGAACUCUGAGACAGGUGCUGCAUGGCUGUCGUCAGCUCGUGUUGUGAAAUGUUGGGUUAAGUCCCGCAACGAGCGCAACCCUUAUCCUUUGUUGCCAGCGGUCCGGCCGGGAACUCAAAGGAGACUGCCAGUGAUAAACUGGAGGAAGGUGGGGAUGACGUCAAGUCAUCAUGGCCCUUACGAGUAGGGCUACACACGUGCUACAAUGGCGCAUACAAAGAGAAGCGACCUCGCGAGAGCAAGCGGACCUCAUAAAGUGCGUCGUAGUCCGGAUUGGAGUCUGCAACUCGACUCCAUGAAGUCGGAAUCGCUAGUAAUCGUAGAUCAGAAUGCUACGGUGAAUACGUUCCCGGGCCUUGUACACACCGCCCGUCACACCAUGGGAGUGGGUUGCAAAAGAAGUAGGUAGCUUAACCUUCGGGAGGGCGCUUACCACUUUGUGAUUCAUGACUGGGGUGAAGUCGUAACAAGGUAACCGUAGGGGAACCUGC
rnacentral:rRNA from 2 species